rnacentral:rRNA from 1 species
GAAUUCACUAGUGAUCCUACGGGAGGCAGCAGCUGCAUCUGCACAAGUCGAAACAGCCGGUGAGCGUUGCGAUGCUCUCUGAGAAAGUCCA